ACCCGGCUGGCUGAGUUGGUAGAGCUUGAAACUCUUGAUCUUGGAGUCGUAGGUUUGAGCCCCAUGUUGGGUG
rnacentral:tRNA from 1 species